AUUGAACGCUGGCGGCAGGCCUAACACAUGCAAGUCGAACGGUAACAGGAAGAAGCUUGCUUCUUUGCUGACGAGUGGCGGACGGGUGAGUAAUGUCUGGGAAACUGCCUGAUGGAGGGGGAUAACUACUGGAAACGGUAGCUAAUACCGCAUAACGUCGCAAGACCAAAGAGAGGGACCUUCGGGCCUCUUGCCAUCGGAUGUGCCCAGAUGGGAUUAGCUAGUAGGUGGGGUAACGGCUCACCUAGGCGACGAUCCCUAGCUGGUCUGAGAGGAUGACCAGCCACACUGGAACUGAGACACGGUCCAGACUCCUACGGGAGGCAGCAGUGGGGAAUAUUGCACAAUGGGCGCAAGCCUGAUGCAGCCAUGCCGCGUGUAUGAAGAAGGCCUUCGGGUUGUAAAGUACUUUCAGCGGGGAGGAAGGGAGUAAAGUUAAUACCUUUGCUCAUUGACGUUACCCGCAGAAGAAGCACCGGCUAACUCCGU
rnacentral:rRNA from 1 species